GUUAAAGGAAAAGUCAAUUGAUGUGACAAAUUUCAUUGUUGUCUUACUUUAAAAAGUUGCCACAGCCACCUUAACCUUUAGCAACCACAAGUUUUAUCAGUCAUCAGCCAUCAACAUCGAGGCAAGAUAUUCCCCCCAGCAACUUACUGAAGGCUCAGAUGAUCAUUAACAGUUUUUAGCAAUAACAUUUUUAAAAUUAAGAUAUAUAUUAGACAUAAUGCUAUUGCAAACUUAGUAGACUACAGUGUAGUGUGAACAUAACUUUUAUAUACACUAGGAAAAGAAAAUGUGUGUGACUCACUUUAUUGAGAUAUUUGAUUUAUUGCAGUGGUCUGGAACUGAACCUACAAUACCUCCAAGAUAUGUCUGUAUAAGGAGAAAGGGGCAAAGGAUUUGAGAGUUUAAUGAGCAUGAUCUCAAUAAUGGGCUGUGGAAUAUAAGCUUUCCUCCUUCCUCCUGCAAAUGUUUAAUGAUAGCCUGUGAAACAUCAUGAGAAUUUUGGGGCUAGAGAAAUGAACAGACAUGGUUCUUGCUCUGAGAAAAGAAAUUAUAUUAUAGUCCAUUAUUUCCCAAACUGUAGUCAUUCAAAUGUCCCAUCAUAUUUUUGUUAUAUCUUUGUGCUCCCUGUAUUAUCAUAUAGUGUUUUUUAAAAUUAUGUACACUUUUGAUCACAGGUAUUAUUAUUGGCUCAGAAGUUUCAUUUGUGGAAAAAAUAAAGAUAUCUUGGUUAUAUACUGGAGUGAUGAUUCACUAUGGUCUCCUGUGUUGAAAUUUGAGAUCUGAGGCCGGGCGCGGUGGCUCCCGCCUGUAAUCCCAGCACUUUGGGAGUGGCCGGGCUGAGGGGCUCCUCACUUCCAGUAGGGGCGGCCGGCAGAGGCGCCCCUCACCUGACCCCCCCACCUCCCUCCCGGAUGGGGCGGCUGGCCGGGCGGGGGGCUGACCCCCCC
rnacentral:lncRNA from 1 species